UGGGGAAUUUUGCACAAUGGGCGCAAGCCUGAUGCAGCGACGCCGCGUGAGGGAUGAAGGCCUUCGGGUUGUAAACCUUUUUCGCUCAUGGUCAAGCCGCAGCUUUGGGUUGUGGUGAGGGUAGUGGGUAAAGAAGCGCCGGCUAACUACGUGCCAGCAGCCGCGGUAAUACGUAGGGCGGGAGCGUUGUCCGGCAUUAUUGGGCGUAAAGGGCUUGUAGGCGGUUGGCCGCGUCUGCCGUGAAAGCCUCUGGCUUAACUGGGGGCGUGGGGUGGGUACGGGUUGAAUUGAGUGCGGUAGGGGAGGCUGGAAUUCCUGGUGUAGCGAUGGAAUGCGCAGAUAUCGGGGGGAACACCGGUGGCGAAGGCGGGUCUCUGGGCCGUUACUGACGCUGUGGAACGAAAGCGUGGGGAGCGAACAGG
rnacentral:rRNA from 1 species